UCUGUGUCGGUCUCCACUUACCCCCACCCACUUUUCCCCGCGCGGACGGAGCUGAGCGGGGGCUCCCUCCCGGGAGCGUGUCUAGAGCUCGGAGGCAGCUGGUAGGGGUUUUACAGUCCACAUGUUUUAAGUCUAACAGAAAAAAAAAUCAUGAAGUUGUGAGACAGAUCCAAGUCUACAUCUACAUCCUCAGGUUGGUGACCUUGGGGCCCCACUUUCAGAUAAAAACAUAGACCUGAAUGGCAUCAUCCAGUAUCCAAGGAAACCAUUUCUUGCAGUACCCUGGAACAUCAUUCACCAUGGCCAGGAUGAAUUUGCUGUACACAGGAGUGAUCCUUCCCACCUGCCAUGUCCCUAGGUGUGUGAGGAUCUACAGUGGAGCCGAAAGAAUUACAUCUUCCUGGUUCAUACUCAGAAGGAUGCAUCUUUCAACAUUUUGAGAAUAAAUGGAAGAAAAAGACUUAAAAGUAAAGUACCUUAAAACAUCUGAAUUUAAGAGGUCUCUAAGUCCACUGAUGACAGGAAAAUCUUUAGUGGUUCCAGAGGCAAGCUGCUGGAAAUCCUGCACAUUUAUUUUCUAGAAGGAAGUAGGCUGAUGAGGAGAGUGAUCUCUUCUGAGAGAUCCUCCCUUUAAAAAUCUGUAAAGGACUCCAAAUUAAGCCAUAUCCAUUUCUGGGACCCUAAAAUGGCUCACAAAAGGUAACGUCAGUUGCUCAAUGUUAGGUGAUUUCAAAAGCCUUAAUAAGGGGAGAGAGCAAAUGUGGGGAGAAGGAUAGUGAAUAAAUUGUGAGAACCUACCAAGUAACGAGACAUCUCUUUAAUUCCAAGCACCAUGUGUUAUUUCACUUUGUAUUUCAAUUAAAA